rnacentral:rRNA from 1 species
AGGACGAACGCUGGCGGCGUGCUUAACACAUGCAAGUCACGGGGGCUCGCAAGAGCAACCGGCGAACGGGUGCGUAACACGUGAGCAACCUGCCUUUGUGUGGGGGAUAGCCGGGCUAACGCCCGGGUAAUACCGCAUACGGUCACCUGGGGGAGUCCCUGGGUGAAGAAACCUCCGGGGCACAGAGAGGGGCUCGCGGCCUAUCAGCUAGUUGGCGGGGUAAUGGCCCACCAAGGCGACGACGGGUAGC